rnacentral:rRNA from 1 species
GGGCCCGCACAAGCGGUGGAGCAUGUGGUUUAAUUCGAAGAUACGCGCAGAACCUUACCAACGCUUGACAUGUUCGUCGCGACUCUAAGAGAUUAGAGUUUUCGGUUCGGCCGGACGAAACACAGGUGCUGCAUGGCUGUCGUCAGCUCGUGUCGUGAGAUGUUGGGUUAAGUCCCGCAACGAGCGCAACCCUCACUUUUAGUUGCCAUCAUUAAGUUGGGCACUCUGAAAGAACUGCCAGUGAUAAGCUGGAGGAAGGUGGGGAUGACGUCAAGUCCUCAUGGCCCUUACGUGUUGGGCUACACACGUGCUACAAUGGUAUCUACAACAGGAAGCAAAACGGCAACGUUAAGCAAAUCCCGAAAAGAUACCUCAGUUCGGAUUGCACUCUGCAACUCGAGUGCAUGAAGCUGGAAUUACUAGUAAUCGUGGAU